rnacentral:rRNA from 1 species
GACGAACGCUGGCGGCGUGCUUAACACAUGCAAGUCGAACGGAAAGGCCCUUCGGGGUACUCGAGUGGCGAACGGGUGAGUAACACGUGGGUGAUCUGCCCUGCACUUUGGGAUAAGCCUGGGAAACUGGGUCUAAUACCGAAUAGGACCACGCGCUUCAUGGUGUGUGGUGGAAAGCUUUUGCGGUGUGGGAUGGGCCCGCGGCCUAUCAGCUUGUUGGUGGGGUAAUGGCCUACCAAGGCGACGACGGGUAGCCGGCCUGAGAGGGUGACCGGCCACACUGGGACUGAGAUACGGCCCAGACUCCUACGGGAGGCAGCAGUGGGGAAUAUUGCACAAUGGGCGCAAGCCUGAUGCAGCGACGCCGCGUGAGGGAUGACGGCCUUCGGGUUGUAAACCUCUUUCAAUAGGGACGAAGCGCAAGUGACGGUACCUGUAGAAGAAGCACCGGCCAACUACGUGCCAGCAGCCGCGGUAAUACGUAGGGUGCGAGCGUUGUCCGGAAUUACUGGGCGUAAAGAGCUCGUAGGUGGUUUGUCGCGUUGUUCGUGAAAACUCACAGCCUAACUGUGGGCGUGCGGGCGAUACGGGCAGACUAGAGUACUGCAGGGGAGACUGGAAUUCCUGGUGUAGCGGUGGAAUGCGCAGAUAUCAGGAGGAACACCGGUGGCGAAGGCGGGUCUCUGGGCAGUAACUGACGCUGAGGAGCGAAAGCGUGGGGAGCGAACAGGAUUAGAUACCCUGGUAGUCCACGCCGUAAACGGUGGGUACUAGGUGUGGGUUCCUUCCUUGGGAUCCGUGCCGUAGCUAACGCAUUAAGUACCCCGCCUGGGGAGUACGGCCGCAAGGCUAGAACUCAAAGGAAUUGACGGGGGCCCGCACAAGCGGCGGAGCAUGUGGAUUAAUUCGAUGCAACGCGAAGAACCUUACCUGGGUUUGACGUGCACAGGACGCCGGCAGAGAUGUCGGUUCCCUUGUGGCCUGUGUGCAGGUGGUGCAUGGCUGUCGUCAGCUCGUGUCGUGAGAUGUUGGGUUAAGUCCCGCAACGAGCGCAACCCUUGUCCUAUGUUGCCAGCGGGUUAUACCGGGGACUCGUAGGAGACUGCCGGGGUCAACUCGGAGGAAGGUGGGGAUGACGUCAAGUCAUCAUGCCCCUUAUGUCCAGGGCUUCACACAUGCUACAAUGGCCGGUACAAAGGGCUGCGAUGCCGUGAGGUGGAGCGAAUCCUUUCAAAGCCGGUUUCAGUUCGGAUCGGGGUCUGCAACUCGACCCCGUGAAGUCGGAGUCGCUGGUAAUCGCAGAUCAGCAACGCUGCGGUGAAUACGUAACCCGGGCCU